ensembl:ncRNA T06D10.5 ncRNA
AUAAAACUUAGGAAUCAUCUCUUCGAACCCAUUGAUUUUUUGAAUCAUCUGGUGCGGCCGCACCUAAAGAUGAUCUCUUUCGUCUUGAGACCCAAUCUACCAUUUCUCUCUCUCUCUCUCUCUCUCUCUCUCUCUCUCUCUCUCUCUCUCUCUCUCUCUCUCUCUCUCUCUCUCUCUCUCUCUCUCUCUCUCUCUCUCUCUCUCUCUCUCUCUUCUG